GACGAACGCUGGCGGCGUGCUUAACACAUGCAAGUCGAACGGAAAGGCCCUGCUUUUGUGGGGUGCUCGAGUGGCGAACGGGUGAGUAACACGUGAGUAACCUGCCCUUGACUUUGGGAUAACUUCAGGAAACUGGGGCUAAUACCGGAUAGGAGCUCCUGCUGCAUGGUGGGGGUUGGAAAGUUUCGGCGGUUGGGGAUGGACUCGCGGCUUAUCAGCUUGUUGGUGGGGUAGUGGCUUACCAAGGCUUUGACGGGUAGCCGGCCUGGGAGGGUGACCGGGCACAUUGGGACUGAGGUACGGCCCAGACUGCUACGGGAGGCAGCAGUGGGGAAUAUUGCACAAUGGGCGGAAGCCUGAUGCAGCAACGCCGCGUGCGGGAUGACGGCCUUCGGGUUGUAAACCGCUUUCGCCUGUGACGAAGCGUGAGUGACGGUAAUGGGUAAAGAAGCACCGGCUAACUACGUG
rnacentral:rRNA from 1 species